GAUGAAGGAACGCAGCGAAAUGCGAUAAGUAAUGUGAAUUGCAGAAUUCAGUGAAUCAUCGAAUCUUUGAACGCACAUUGCGCCCGCCAGUAUUCUGGCGGGCAUGCCUGUUCGAGCGUCAUUACAACCCUCAGGCCCCCGGGCCUGGCGUUGGGGAUCGGCGGAGCCCCCCGUGGGCACACGCCGUCCCCCAAAUGCAGUGGCGGUCCCGCCGCAGCUUCCAUCGCGUAGUAGCUAACACCUCGCGACUGGAGAGCGGCGCGGCCACGCCGUAAAACACCCAACUCUUCUGAAGUUGACCUCGAAUCAGGUAGGAAUACCCGCUGAACUUAAGCAUAUCAAUAAGCGGAGGA
rnacentral:misc_RNA from 1 species